UACGUAGGGUGCAAGCGUUGUCCGGAAUUAUUGGGCGUAAAGAGCUCGUAGGCGGUCUGUCACGUCGGCUGUGAAAAACCCGGGGCUCAACCCCGGGCCUGCAGUCGAUACGGGCAGACUAGAGUGCGGUAGGGGAGACUGGAAUUCCUGGUGUAGCGGUGAAAUGCGCAGAUAUCAGGAGGAACACCGGUGGCGAAGGCGGGUCUCUGGGCCGUAACUGACGCUGAGGAGCGAAAGCGUGGGGAGCGAACAGG
rnacentral:rRNA from 1 species